UGCUUAAAAAUAAAGAAAAGAAAACAGAGUAGGUAGGUCAUUUUGGCAUAUCUUCUGAAGAUAGAGAAUUUAUUUGAGAGAAUAAAUGGAAUCUGAUAAUACCAAGAGGAAAAAAAAAAUACACUCUUCAGUCACUCUCAGACAUGAUUAUUAUCUUCUGUUCUACAAAGGGUCUGGAUGGAAAAGUUUUGCAAAAUGACCCUGUGACCAACUUCUCAAAAAGUCCACCACGAGAUUAAGGGUGUCCUUCUUGAAAAGACAAGAGUUGCCUGACCAAGUCUACCUCCACAGAGCUCCGAGAGGGAGGUGUCCCUUCAAAUGACCACAUCUCAUCACUCACCAGAAUCCACCCAUGGUUCUCCAUCUCCCAGAAAAUAAAAAUCUGAACUCCUCAUUGAGUACCUGAAAAGCCUCAUUUUCCUACUUUCCCACUUGCAGUGACGCCUCAGCCACAGUGAAUCCUUUGUGAUAUAUGAAUUCAGGAUGAAUUGAUUUUUUACCUCAAGUCAUAUGCCUAUAAUUAGACUGUGCAGCCAACAAUCUGGUCUUUCAAGACAACAGAGAAAAAGAAAAAAAACAAUAUACUUCUGCUGAGCAUAUUUUGUAUAUCACCGGUGGCGGAUUAGCUCAUUCCGUGCUCGUGAAGCUAAGGUUAAAAGUUCACCUGCAAUAAGAGCUAAUGACCUGCACUCUGACUUAUGGCCCUAGACAGUGUUCCAGAACCUCAUUACUUCUCUAAUAAAAGAUAGUAGGAAAACCUGAUACAUGAGUGAAUGGCCUCCUCACAGGACUGGAAAAUAUCUUCAAUGACACAUCCUCCCCUGGAGGGCAGUAUCACCAUUCUUACAUAAAAAGAGCAGAGGUGCUGACGUUUUUAAGAAACGAAUUGCCUUCCAGGCCUCACCCUGAACGCUGGGGAUGCAGUAAUGAAGAAGUUAGGCACAGUCCCUGCCUUCUCAAAACUGUAUUCUGAAUUCUGCUUCCGGGAGGCCUGUUGGAAAAGUUCACCUAACUCUGAUUCCUUCUCGGAGCUUCUUCAGCAGGCAGGGUCUACAACUCAAUGUUACAGGAAUAUUGGACUGGCACUGGCAUUCUGCUUACUUCACUAUCAUUCAUUCCUGCAAAGCUAUUAGUGUCAUUUCCCUGGCUAGAUUACACAAUCUUUGAUAUCAAAAACCAUUGCUUUUUAUUCUCUAUCUUGCUUGAUACAAGCAAGAUACAAUUGAUACAACUGAUAUUAAUUAGCUGUCGCCUUUUUUUGUCUCUGUUAAGCAGCUGAAAAAAAUUACAGUUACGGAAAACUGAGUGAUUUCAGACAAAGUUUGGACUGAUAAUUCAUUUCCUUGAAAAUUACCUUUCAAAAAUUAGAGAAUAAUCUAAUAUUGAUCCACAUAAUAUGCAAAGCCUAGACAUAAACUUAUAAGUAAUAUAUUCAUACAUGAACGUUAAUACAUAGUCUCUGUAUAAUAUCAAGUAAAAAAUAUAUUAUUAACACUUUAUAAGCAUAGGAAAGAAAAUAAAGAUAGACACCAAAAUACUAAGUGAAACCAUAUGAAAUCGUGGCUUGUGUUGCUUAAGAAUGUUCAGCUUCUAGCAAGUCUGUGGUUAAACCUGUUAUUAAUCAUGUUUGGUUCUCAAUGUGGACUUUAUAAGUGAAUUGAAAUGCUCUUCAUAUGUUAGGGUAUCUCUAUUACUUUUCUGUUUUCCUCCAGUGAACAUUUACAGUAAAAUUAGAAAAACAAUUUAAAAAUUAUUCUGAUUUAUUGACCAUACUAGUAAAGGAUCCUUUUUUAAAAAUCUAUGAAAAGACGGCCCUGUCCCAGGAAGUCUGGCAUCUGUUUUCCUGAGUCUUGGUCAAUCCAGCUCAGCGCUCCUUGAGAAGGCAGCUCUUUAGUGUCUAACACCCUCUAGUGAGCAGAUCGCAAACCCUCGGUUUAUUCUUGUAAUUACGCUUGAGAACGGAGGGUCCCUAUCCAGCAUGGUUACUAACAGUUUUUAAUUGCAGAGAAUUGCAAGCAUGCCUUACUAAAUGAGCUCAGUUUUUGUUUUUUCAGACCAUGUGAGUUCAAUAUUUCUACUCUUAAUGGGUCCAGCUCUUAUUUGACUUUCAGACUCAGAGCACAGUACCACAACAUUUAGGACAUCAGGGUGAGCUACAUAAUCCAUGACAUUUCUAACUUCAGUGCAACCUAUCUCUAUUACCUACUGCACUUGCUGCAGGGAUAAUGCCCACAGGACUGACAGGAAGAACCACAUUUGUAACCAAUACAGGAGGGCUGGUGGGGAUUAUUAAAUGCCACAUGAUGGAGCUGUGCUCCUGAGUCAAACAUGGCUUUGCAUAGUUGGUUUUUAUUCAGAAACUGGAUAAAUGUCAUCUAUACACUUUCAAUUUGCCUUCUGUUGCACUCAUACUGUGGGUUUACGUUAAUUGUGAAAACUUUCAUUCUAUGCAUCAAAUAAAUGAACAUCUAAAUAUA